rnacentral:rRNA from 1 species
ACUUUGAUCGAUUUCUUCGGAUUGAAAUUUUAGUGACUGAGUGGCGGACGGGUGAGUAACGCGUGGGUAACCUGCCUCACACAGGGGGAUAACAGUUGGAAACGGCUGCUAAUACCGCAUAAGCGCACGGUACCGCAUGGUCCGGUGUGAAAAACUCCGGUGGUGUGAGAUGGUCUCGCGUCUGAUUAGCUAGUUGGCGGGGUAACGGCCCACCAAAGCGACGAUCAGUAGCCGGCCUGAGAGGGUGAACGGCCACAUUGGGACUGAGACACGGCCCAAACUCC